UGCUUUGCUUUCUCCGUCACGUGGGAAGACAGCCGCGGGGUCCUCGCAGUUGCUGCAGCGCUUCCUUGCACGGAAUCGUUGCAGCGGCGUGGCGUGGGAUUCUUGCAGGGCGAUUGCAGUGCCCGUCGCUCUCUGUCCCCGCAGCUGUCUUGGAAAAAAAACUUGGCCGGAUCUCGCCUCCUUCCACCAUGAAUUUCUUGGUUGGGCUUUGCUUUCCCGGGCUUGUGCUUCUGUCUUGCUGCAGUCUCGUGCAAUCGGGAGAUUCUCAAGCCAACCCGGUUCCUACAGCCUCAAAUAACACAAAUCAUACAAGCGCACCACCUGUGGUGAAACUGGGAAACGUUACUACCGCUGCCCCAAAUGCCACCACCCCAACUGCUGUGACUUCUAACGUCACCGCCUCCAGCACAAAAAAUACCACCAUCAUCUACACAAACACAACCACUAUCACAACAAAAACCACCACUAUAAAAAGAAACCAGUUACCACGCAUAAACCGCGACCUGAUAGCUCCAACCAAAUCUCCCCGUAUGCUUGAUACCAAGCCUUGUUAAUACCCAUGAAACACGCAAAUACUACUUUGAAUUCCACUACAGCAACAGCCACUGCAAAAGCUCCGGGAAAUCUUUCCAGAUCGUCAGGGUUUGAUGUGGGAAGUUUCAUCGGUGGGAUCGUAUUGACCCUGGGACUUCUCGUCAUUGGCUACAUUGGAUGUAGAACUUACCAUGCAAAAAGGGGCGUCCAGUACCGAACCAUUGAUGAACAUGAUGCUAUCAUUUAAAGAUUAUACUCCAAGGAUACAUCUGAAACAACUCCUCCUUUGUUUAGAAACAAUCUUUUUUUUCCAGAAAACAUGCCUUAAUGGGAAAAGUUGAUCACAGCCUACACAGGAGUUUUUAAUUCUUGCAUCAUGGUGCACUCUAUAUAAGAUUCUAAAGGACACUGAACACCUUAAAGCACUGAAGAAUUCCAAGAAAAAACUAUGUGGUCGGCACCAGUUUAUGAAUCACUUUCUAAGAAAUCAAAAGAGCUUAGUUAACAGAAACAUUUAGCUGUUGUGCACAAAAGAUCAAAGACAUCAGCACCCGUGAUAAAACAUAGACUGUGGUGUCCCCUGUAAUUCACAUGGUCUUUCAGUACAAUAAACUUUCCAGACAAUACUAGAUAAAUAACACAGCUUCCUUUUGCAAGGUGACUGCUGAAUCCAAACACAACAUUUUCAGUUUGUUUGUAUUAGAUUUGUGGAAUGUAGGGGUGCGGGUGGGGGGUGUCUUAUUUUGUUAAUGAUCAGGGGAGUUUCAAGAUUUGCGUUGUUUGGACUUUCAGGAAAAUAUUUGUCUCCUUUUUGAUGCCAAGAAGUGGCUGCAAGGAUGUGUGAGUGUACUGGGAUUGUGCUGUUGGAGGGUGGGUCUCUUUUUUGUUAUGUGUGUCGGGUGGGGGGGAGGGGCGUUUGCAGAAGAUAGGAAGCUUAUUUUGAGUAAUGUGUUAUUUGAAAAUGGUACAUCUGUGUACCAUUGGGGUUGAGGUAUGGUUUGAGACAAACAGGAUUGUUUUUACCACAAAGGUGGAUUCACAGGGACAUUUUUGGUUGUAAUAUGGUGAAUCGGCUGUGUCAUUGUUUCAGCGCAUUACAUGGUGGAACAGACAAAGUUGCCUUAUUCGGAGUCAGAACGUUCGUCCAUCUAUCCAGUUCGGUAUUGUCGGUUCUGACAGCGGCAGUUGUUCUCCCAGGUCUCUGGGCAGAGAAAAACCUUUCCCAAUAUCUGCUGCCUGAGAUCUUUAACUACAGACUUUUAAUUAUGUGAUUCUGCUUGGAAGAGCCUUCCUUUGCACCCAGAAUGUCCCAAGUUCAAUUCCCGGCAUCUGCAGAUAACAGGUCAUGUGAAAGUCCUCUAUCUAAGGUCCCAAAGAGUUAAUUGCUAAUAUGAGUAGACAGUACACGGACCUAUGCUCUGAUUCGAUGUAAGACAACUUCACAUGUUCUAUCAAAAACAUAUUCUCUGCUGCUGAGCUCAGUAGAGAAUUAGUUCUUUGCGGAGGACUGAUUUCCCAUUUGAAGACAUGGCUCAGUUGGUUCACCACCAAUCUAUGGAGGUCAACUUGGUGUCCCCUUGUUACUUGACUCUUUAAUCAAUGCAAUGUGGACAGUUGUUUGAUGUUGCACUGUCUGUAUCCUAGUCACUUGUGUUAAACCAUAAAACGGUUGUAAAGAAGGCAGUUUGAGAUUGGCCUGAAGGUUUCCACUGAGAGUAGUUUAAAUUGGUAUUCUUCCUUCUAAAAACUUAGGCUGGAAACAAACUAUAGAUUAUUUUCAAGAGAUGUUGAAAUUAUUUGGGAAGGGCAUCCCUUCUCUUGGUGUGCGAGGUUUGCCUUGUUCCACUGCCACCCCAAGCAAGCCAAUUGUUGACUAAGACUUGCAAAACCAAUUUGCUAGAGGCAAAAGUGGAAUGAACCGUCAUAGCAUGAGCAGCAUUUCCUCUUUCAAAGUGCCUCUAACUCUGAAAUCAUAAAAAAAACCCUAUCAUUUGUCUCCAGCUCUAUUUUUUUUCUGAGAAGCUUUAUGCGCUGUUCACAGAAAGAGACUGUUACUAUAUUGCAUAUAUUCCUUUAUUUUCUUUAAAAGCUUAUCUUCUGGGUCUGGAAGCCUGUUAUCUUCAAAACCUCAUCCAAAGGCAUAAAAUAAUUCUCUGUCAUCUAAAAUUUAACACAUGCCCCAGUGUGAGGUUCACAAAGGGGUAUUUCUUGUGUUCCACCCUUGUUCAUUAGUGUGACUACUGUGGAGUUCAUUCAGCAGUUAUUUUGACAGUUGUGCAAGCUAACUGUGAGGCCAAUGUGAAUUUUAGAACUUUAUUUUGCAAUAAUAAUUAUUUCCAUCUUGUUUCCUGUAACACGUUUGGUAGUCCUUAGGGACUAUAGCUAUAUUUUUAAGCAGGGGCCAAUUCAUCCAUGAGGUGUUGAGAUGGUAUAGUCAGCCCUCCCACAGAAUUAUAGCCCCCCACAUUGAUUCAUAUGCCUUUGAUUUGGUACAUGGUGCUUUUACCAUUUCCCAUUUGAGCUCCAGAUUACAAGUUAUGGGUGAUCAAGUGGUCACUACUUCUCUUCUCCUCCCAAGUCUCUCCAAUAACUGAAAACCACACCCAAACACACACACACACACACACAUAUCCUUUUACUACAUUUUUCCAGAGAAAUGCAGAGGGGGACCAAGUUCAACCAGGCCUACACAUCCCCAUAUAGAGUGGACAUGAUAUAGUACAGCUUUUGUACACAGUUUUCAAAGCAAAUUGCAUGGGGGAGGGUUCUGCAAUACUCGGAUCUUUUGCUUGUGGCCCUGUUCACUGUCUCUCCUGCUCAUUCAGGGAUGUCAAAAUCUCAGAUUCAUACCCCUUGUCUAAAGCAACAAAUGGCCACAUAGACAACCUCAGUUUCCAGAUCUUCUUUCUAGCUUUUGUUGAAUUCUGCUGUCUUAAUGCUGGAAAGUUUUCAAAUGAAACCAAUGCUUUGACUAUAAGGUAAAGACAAUUCAGUUGUAGAAAAAGCACAUCUGGGCUGGCCUUUUGGAGUACCUUCAGUAGGGAUUAUUGCUCAACUGGAAAAACAGUGAUCAAGGGCUUGGAUCCCGCCCCCACCAUAUUUUUCAUUCACCUGAUUUCCCUCCGUAGUCCAACCCCUGAUGCACACCCCUUUUGUUCGUGUAGGUCAUGAACAGCAGGUUGAAUCUAACACAAAAUAAAAUCUUCAAUCACUAGGAGCCAGCACACAAUGUUAAAACCUGUCAAAAUAAAAUUACUGCUUUUGGCAAGCCAUCACUAUCCUAACAUUUAGAGGACCUUGCAAAGGGAAUCUGUUAUCCCAUUCAGAGCUUCCAUGUUUUGGAGGAGGGGCUGUGGCUCAGUGGAAAGGAUCUGUUUGGCAUGUCGAAGGCCAUGGGUUCAAUCCCCAUACUCCAGUUUAAAAAAAUAGGAUGUGAUGUGAAAAACCUCUGCUUGGACAGCUACUGCCAGACCAAAUAGUGUGGUGCUCUCAAUGGACAAGUGAUCUGAUCCAGAAUAUGGCAACCAACAAAGGUGUGGAUACUUCAAUGGCACACAUUUGUCAUAGUAAACAUGUCUGAGCACUAGAUUCUCUAGGUGAGGGAAUCGGCCACUAUAGGAAUUGUAUUCUGUACAUCUAGCCCUUACCCUCAUCUUGGUGGUUCGUAGAAGAAUGCAAUGGUUGGAAAAGUAUUAUUUCAGGGAAAAUACGAAGAAAAAGUUUAGAAAUUACUCAGGUCACAUCCACACUUAAAAGCAGUUAACAGCUAUUCCCUCUACCUGGGGAUCCUUUGCAAAAACAGGUGAGUGGUAGGCAGAGAGCGAUUUUUUACCUGUUCUCAGCACCCUAUAAAACUGCUGUUCCCAGAGUUACUUGGGAGAAGCUAUAACAGUUGACGUGAUUUGAACCUGAAACAGGUUUGUCAUACAGAUAGGGCUUCAGUCUUGAGAAGUUUUAUAAGAAUUCUAUUUUUUCACUCUUUUGAGAGGUUUUGAAAGAAUUCUAUUUUUUCUAAAUACUGUGCAAGUAUAAUUUCUGAGUCUGAUUAUUUAACAAGAAAACUACUUUUUGUACCAAAUAAUUUGCCAUGUGGUGGACUAGAUGCUUGAUUCAACAAAAAUAUAACCACUUCGUUCAUUUUCAAAUUUUGCAGUGGCUGAAAUUACACAGCAAGCUAUGUUCAACUACUGACUUUGAGAAAGCAUGUACUUGUUACCUGCCUAAAAUCCAUAUAUAAUUGAUGUUUUCAUCUUGCUUGUCUCCUUCACUUGCAAAAAUAAAGUUUUUGAAAAUUA